rnacentral:rRNA from 1 species
UACGUAGGGUGCGAGCGUUGUCCGGAAUUAUUGGGCGUAAAGGGUACGCAGGCGGUUUAAUAAGUCGAAUGUUAAAGAUCGGGGCUCAACCCCGUAAAGCAUUGGAAACUGAUAAACUUGAGUAGUGGAGAGGAAAGUGGAAUUCCUAGUGUAGUGGUGAAAUACGUAGAUAUUAGGAGGAAUACCAGUAGCGAAGGCGACUUUCUGGACACAAACUGACGCUGAGGUACGAAAGCGUGGGGAGCAAACAGGAUUAGAAACCCCCGUAGUCC